CGGGGCGGAGCUUGCCGGCCGCCUCCUAUUUCCGCUGGUGGACGGGGCGGCCGGAGGUGGUUUGGGCCGGGAGGCUGCGAAGAUAAAUUGUAUCUACCCGUGGAACUCCCACCGUUUUCUGGACUGGACUUUUUUUGAAGGUUCCCACCAUGAGUCUCCAGUGGGCUGCUGUGGCCACUUUCCUCUACGCCGAAGUCAUUCUGGUGUUUCUCCUCUGCAUUCCCUUUAUCUCAGCCACAAGAUGGCAGAAGAUCUUCAGGUCCCGCCUGGUGCGCCUGCUGGUGAUCUACGGGAACACCUUCUUUGUCGUGCUGAUCGUCAUUCUUGUCCUCCUGU